AACGAACGCUGGCGGCAUGCCUAACACAUGCAAGUCGAACGAAACCUUCCUGUCUAUUGGCGCACGUGUGCGUAACGCGUGGGAACCUGCCCUUAGGUUCGGAAUAACUCCCCGAAAGGGGUGCUAAUACCAGAUAAUGUCUUCGGACCAAAGAUUUAUCGCCUUUGGAUGGGCGCGCGUUGGUUUAGCUAGUUGGUAGGGGAAAAGCCUACCAACGCCACGAUCCAUAGCUGGUCGGAGAGGAUGAUCAGCCACACUGGGACUGAGACACGGCCCAGACUCCUACGGGAGGCAGCAGUGGGGAAUAUUGGAGGCUGGGGGAUAGCCUGAUACAGCCAUGUCGGGUGAGUGAUGAAGGGCUUAGGAUUGUAAAGCUCUUUUACCCGAGACGAUAAUGACAGUACCGGGAGAAUAAGCACCGGCUAACUACGUG
rnacentral:rRNA from 1 species